UCCUACGGGGGGCAGCAGUGGGGAAUCUUGCACAAUGGGCGAAAGCCUGAUGCAGCAACGCCGCGUGAGCGAAGAAGGCCUUUGGGUCGUAAAGCUCUGUCCUAAGGGAAGAAGGAAGUGACGGUACCUUAGGAGGAAGCCCCGGCUAACUACGUGCCAGCAGCCGCGGUAAUACGUAGGAUGCGAGCGUUAUCCGGAAUUACUGGGUGUAAAGGGAGCGCAGGCGGGACUGCAAGUUGGAUGUGAAAUACCGCAGCUUAACUGCGGAGCUGCAUCCAAAACUGUAGUUCUUGAGUGGAGUAGAG
rnacentral:rRNA from 1 species